GUAAUGAAAGAGGUCUGAGAUCUUAACACAGAGAGAGCAGAUUUAAUGAAUCAUAAACCAAGACACAGGAAGAUCCAACAAAUUAUACAUAAGAAUACAAACACCGAACAACCACAUCCAUCAAAAGCAAGGACGAGUGGAGCUGGCUGUGUCCAGAAGACAUCCAGAAGAUCGUUAGGCCGCUAUUUGGAACCUCCAUCGUGAGGGGCUGAGUCCUGCACUUCUUUCCAUUGGUACAGGGUUAUGGUUUUGAACUAUGACACUGGUCAGCUAUGCCAUUUCAUACUUCCCAACUUUAAUUCUCAAAGGGCACCACAAAGAGG